rnacentral:rRNA from 1 species
ACGUAGGGUGCGAGCGUUAAUCGGAAUUACUGGGCGUAAAGCGUGCGCAGGCGGUUUUGUAAGCCAGAUGUGAAAUCCCCGGGCUCAACCUGGGAAUGGCAUUUGGGACUGCAAGGCUCGAGUGCGGCAGAGGAGACUGGAAUUCCUGGUGUAGCAGUGAAAUGCGUAGAUAUGCGGAGGAACACCGAUGGCGAAGGCAAUCCCCUGGGCCUGUACUGACGCUCAUGCACGAAAGCGUGGGGAGCAAACAGGA